GAUGAAGAACGCAGCGAAAUGCGAUAACUAAUGUGAAUUGCAGAAUUCCGUGAAUCAUUGAGUCUUUGAACGCACAUUGCGCCCUCUGGUAUUCCGGAGGGCAUGCCUGUCCGAGCGUCAUUGCUGCCCUCAAGCACGGCUUGUGUGUUGGGCCCCGCCCCCCGAUCCCGGGGGGCGGGCCCGAAAGGCAGCGGCGGCACCGCGUCCGGUCCUCGAGCGUAUGGGGCUUUGUCACCCGCUCUGUAGGCCCGGCCGGCGCCUGCCGAUCAACCAAACUUUUUUCCAGGUUGACCUCGGAUCAGGUAGGGAUACCCGCUGAACUUAAGCAUAUCAAUAAGCGGAGGA
rnacentral:misc_RNA from 1 species